rnacentral:vault_RNA from 7 species
GGGCCAGCUUUAGCUCAGCGGUUACUUCGACAGUGGUUCAGUUCAUUACCAGCUAUUCGUAGCAGGUUCGAACAACACAACCAACCACUUACCUAACCCGUGAGUGUUUGGUUCGAGACCCGCGGGCGCUCCCUGGCCCUUUU